rnacentral:SRP_RNA from 1 species
GCCGGGUGUGGUAGUGCGCGCCUGUAAUCCCAGCUACUCAGGAGGCUGAGGCAGGAGAAUCGCUUGAACCUGGGAGGUGGAGGUUGCAGUGAGCCGACCAUGCCACUGCACUCCACCCUGGGUGACAGAGCGAGACUCCAUCUCAA